UCUCCACAGGUGAUGGCGAGGAAAUGAAAAUGGUGCUUCAUGAAAAACAAGUUAAACUCUCCACUGAAGUUAUUUGACCUCAUCACAGCUUAGGCAUGGCUCAAAACUGCCUGGGGAACUGUGCGCCGUUGUUUUUCCUAGCCGUCGCUUUUGACGUCGGCGGUUUGACAUUGCUUUUAGUUGGUAUUUUCGCGGAUCUAAAGUUGGACGGUCACUUCUACGGUGAUUUCCUCAUCUACACGGGUACACUCAUCAUCUUCCUAAGUCUGGGUUGGUGGAUUUUGUGGUACACGGGCAACAUAAAGGUUUACUCUGAGGACUUUGAGAAAAGCACCCUGGACAACUUUGCGCACUGGGCGAGAAAGUUUUCGGAGCGGCUCUCGAAGAGCGGGAUAAAAACUCUAGAAGCCGGGGAGAAGUGCAUGGUGAAUAGGAAGGAAUCGGUCAACAGAACAGUGCCUGUUCACGCUCCAUCACGAAUUACGUGGGAACACAGCAUCAGCGGACACGACAAUGGAGGAUACGACCGAAGUUUUGACAACCCGCCGAGGGAGAAAACGGUCGAGUUGGGGAUUCUGAAGAACUCUGAGGUGUUAUUGCAAAGCAUCGUGGAUAGCAAAGCGGAGAGGCUUCUCUGACGGAGCUGCAAAUCAUGGGGAUCUGGGCCUGGUCGGGUGUCUGUAGUAUAUCCCUCCCGUCCGACUCAUUGAAGGAGAACUCUUCGUCCAGUUUGAGGUGUUCUCGGAUUCUCCAGUUUGAAAAACGUAUGCCUACUCCAAGCCCUGCUUUUCAAAUCCCAACUGACUGAAUACCUUUUUAGCCUAUAUGAACCAAAGACACUUUUUCAAGAGAAUACUAUUUUUAUUCAGGAAGAGGCCGUCUGACACAAUGUCCGGGCCCCUGCACUGAGGAUAGAAAUGGCAGAAUUUUACUUGUAAUUAGCUAAAUAACGAAAAAUGUUAUGUCCUGAAUUUUACAUGGUUCAUUUUGAAGAUAUUUUCCUUGAAUAAAGUUUAUUUUCUUUUUUUCUAACAUCA